CCUAACUAUGCAAAACAAUUAGAAACUUAUCCUACCUCAAUGUCUUUCUUAAACUGAGAGAAUGUUCUUCCAGCUGCCAGACGAAUUGAGCGCGUCGAUGUCUCAAAAAAGUUGUGGCGAUAUUUAAAACAAAAUUGAAAAAAGUUUGUUGUGGGGUCGCACGUAGUAGUAGGAGGGGCGGUCUGGGGGUAUUCCUCCCCCCCCAAAAAAAAAAUUCUUGCACUUUCCACCCCUAGGACUGCAUUUCGUGCGUUUUCUGAAACUGUUUUUGGCAAAACAACGUUUAAAUUAUACUGUAGAUAGAC